rnacentral:rRNA from 1 species
UACAGUGCCCGCUAGCGGUAACAUUUCUAGCUUGCUAGAAGAUGACGAGCGGCGGACGGGUGAGUAAUGCUUGGGAACAUCGCCUUUAGGUGGGGGACAACCAUUGGAAACGAUGGCUAAUACCGCAUAAUGUCUACGGACCAAAGGGGGCUUCGGCUCUCGCCUUUAGAUUGGCCCAAGUGGGAUUAGCUAGUUGGUGAGGUAACGGCUCACCAAGGCGACGAUCCCUAGCUGGUUUGAGAGGAUGAUCAGCCACACUGGAACUGAGACACGGUCCAGACUCCUACGGGAGGCAGCAAGUGGGGAAUAUUGCACAAUGGGCGCAAGCCUGAUGCAGCCAUGCCGCGUGUGUGAAGAAGGCCUCCGGGUUGAC